rnacentral:rRNA from 1 species
UGGCGGACGGGUGAGUAAUGUCUGGGAACUGCCCGAGGGAGGGGGAUAACUACUGGAAACGGUAGCUAAUACCGCAUAACGUCGCAAGACCAAAGAGGGGGACCUUCGGGCCUCUUGCCAUCGGAUGUGCCCAGAUGGGAUUAGCUAGUAGGUGGGGUAACGGCUCACCUAGGCGACGAUCCCUAGCUGGUCUGAGAGGAUGACCAGCCACACUGGAACUGAGACACGGUCCAG